GGGGAGAUACCAAAGUGGCCAACUGGGGUAGACUGUAAAUCUACUGUCGCACGACUUCGGAGGUUCGAAUCCUCCUCUCCCCA
rnacentral:tRNA from 1 species